rnacentral:lncRNA from 7 species
UAAGUGCCCCCAUAAGCCCCAUACCCAACCAUCCAGCAGACCACCGAGGUCUUCACGUCGGUAAGGAGCCCCAUAGCGACCCAUAACUGCCCCAUAGAGCCCCAUAACCACACACUGCCCCAUAGCGCCCCAUAGAGACCAAUAACUGCCCCAUAGA